AUGUAAAUAAUUUCUCUUCUUCCAAUAAAUUAGGAAGAAGCAAGGGGGUGCUAGGAUGUUAAAGUGCUUUUCAUUUCUGAGCGGGCAUGAGGUCAUCAAUCGACUGCCCCUUCUCAAGACAUUUCUCCAUUUUGAUCAGCAGUUUCACCCCAUCAACCACCAUCUGUACCAGCUUCACCUUGGAGAAUCCAAGAUGGUCGGCAUUGGAGACAUCAAGCACUUCUCCCACAGCAGCUGUGCCACGUUUCUGCAGCCUUCUAGGAUUUCACCAAAUUUCUCAUGCAAGAAAACCUGACCAAGUGAGAAGGUCAUCUGCAGAACUUGUAGAUAUGGUGUGACUUCUUUGGAAUGCAGAAAACCUGAAGAAUUUAACACCGGAUGCAAAAUUCAGCUGGAAUUGCACCUGUAUGCCAUGCUUACCUGCACUCUGCUAUGGCGAGAAUGCUUUCUAGGUUCCUUGGCUUAAAAACCUCAUGACAUUGUCACAUCACAUGGGACUGCACCAAAACAUGUGAAGCCAGAAUCUGCCACAGAGAAAUAAUGUCUGGUGCUAUCCCGGUGGUGAUUCUAAGCAGAUUUUGUGUCAAACUGAAGUGGUGAUAAGUCCGUCAAUAAAAAGAUUUCAUCUUCCCCCAGAGCCUAACUUAAUACAUUGAGAGCACAAUUCAAUUCUUAUAGGAAACCAAAUCAUUAACAUAUCUGUCCAAUUUUCCUACUCAGUAUGCUGGUUUGCAACACUUUACUCAAAAUGCAUCUAUUCCAAUGGGAUAACAAAUAGCUAUUCUUUCACGGCUUGUAUUCCUGGCAACAUCAUAUGGAAACAGAAUGUUGUAGGUAGAUGACAUACUGGACAAAGACAUAUUUUUUUCCUACACUCUAGUCUUAUUGCCAAACUAACAAGUUCUGGCUGUUCUGCUCUCUUUGCUGGAGGGUAAGCUAAACCAAUACAGAAAUAAAAGAGUUAUUCUUGAGGAAUAAACAGAUGGAGGUUUUCCCUCCAACUACCUCAAGCUCUGGUGUAAUUUGCGCAUUUAUAGGAUAUUUACAAUACAGGGAAGAAAACAUAACUCUUCCCUCAUACAAUGACUCCGGUAGCUAUUUCAUACGCCUAUUGUUGAGAAAUCCUGUCACUGUUUGGAGCUCUUUCUUCUUUCUCAAAAGCCCUUUAACCAGCUAGAUCUCAAUUUUAGACCAACUGAAACAUUAAUUUAAUAUCUGGUACUGCUGUCUGCUCCCCCCACAUUUAAUACCAUGUUUGUUUUUAACUGCUGAUAAUCAUUUUGGAUCUUUCAGAUACAAAACAAUGACAGGAUACAAUUAUUCUAUACAAAUACAGUACAUUUCCUGACACAACAUAGGCACCUAUUCUUAUCUUCGAGAGAGCUGACUCCGCAUCCCCAGACAGUGACCUCUAACUCACAACAGGAGUAUUUUAUUACAAAUUACCUUAUUGGCAGUAAUUAUGAGGAGCUGCUAUGAACAAAGAGGCACCUAAAAUGUUAAAUGAGGGUUUCCCAGUUGUGGUUUUGCCCACAUUUAACCCAACUAAUGGACAAUAUCUUCCAGGCUGAUGACUUUCCCCCACAAAUUAUAGAUUUAGAAACUGGACACUCAACAUCAGAAGCUCUGAGCAAUAGGGUUUUGACAUGGUUAAGAGUCUAAUGUACUUUUAACAAAUUCAGAACUUAUAAAAUUAGAGGAUAAGUAACACAUGAAUCGUGGUUUCAGAUUAAAUACAUUACAGGCCCAUUGAAUGCAUGAUCACUAUCAAAUGAACAUAUUAUAUUCAGUCUGUUACAGAUCGUGUCACAGAUUAAAUAUCACUCAUCCAAAAUGCUUUGGGACCAGGGUGUUUUGAGUUUCUAAUUUCUUUGGAAG